rnacentral:rRNA from 1 species
UACGUAGGGUGCGAGCGUUGUCCGGAAUUAUUGGGCGUAAAGAGCUUGUAGGCGGUUUGUCGCGUCUGCUGUGAAAAUCCGGGGCUCAACCCCGGACUUGCAGUGGGUACGGGCAGACUAGAGUGUGGUAGUGGAGACUGGAAUUCCUGGUGUAGCGGUGAAAUGCGCAGAUAUCAGGAGGAACACCGAUGGCGAAGGCAGGUCUCUGGGCCACUACUGACGCUGAGAAGCGAAAGCAUGGGGAGCUAACAGGAUUAGA